rnacentral:rRNA from 1 species
CGGAUGACCUGUGGCUGGGGGUGAAAGGCCAAUCAAACCGGGAGAUAGCUGGUUCUCCCCGAAAGCUAUUUAGGUAGCGCCUCGUGAAUUCAUCUCCGGGGGUAGAGCACUGUUUCGGCUAGGGGGCCAUCCCGGCUUACCAACCCGAUGCAAACUGCGAAUACCGGAGAAUGUUAUCACGGGAGACACACGGCGGGUGCUAACGUCCGUCGUGAAGAGGGAAACAACCCAGACCGCCAGCUAAGGUCCCAAAGUCAUGGUUAAGUGGGAAACGAUGUGGGAAGGCCCAGACAGCCAGGAUGUUGGCUUAGAAGCAGCCAUCAUUUAAAGAAAGCGUAAUAGCUCACUGGUCGAGUCGGCCUGCGCGGAAGAUGUAACGGGGCUAAACCAUGCACCGAAGCUGCGGCAGCGACGCUGAUGCGUUGUUGGGUAGGGGAGCGUUCUGUAAGCCUGCGAAGGUGGCCUGUGAGGGUUGCUGGAGGUAUCAGAAGUGCGAAUGCUGACAUAAGUAACGAUAAAGCGGGUGAAAAGCCCGCUCGCCGGAAGACCAAGGGUUCCUGUCCAACGUUAAUCGGGGCAGGGUGAGUCGACCCCUAAGGCGAGGCCGAAAGGCGUAGUCGAUGGGAAACGGGUUAAUAUUCCCGUACUUGGUGUUACUGCGAAGGGGGGACGGAGAAGGCUAUGUUGGCCGGGCGACGGUUGUCCCGGUUUAAGCGUGUAGGUGUGUGUUCCAGGUAAAUCCGGUU